CGGGAAGUAGCUUAGUUUGGUAGAGCGCCACGUUCGGGACGUGGAGGUCGUAGGUUCAAAUCCUGUCUUCCCGA
rnacentral:tRNA from 1 species